UACGUAGGGUGCGAGCGUUGUCCGGAAUUACUGGGCGUAAAGAGCUCGUAGGCGGUUUGUCGCGUUGUCCGUGAAAACUCACAACUCAAUUGUGGGCGUGCGGGCGAUACGGGCAGACUGGAGUACUGCAGGGGAGACUGGAAUUCCUGGUGUAGCGGUGAAAUGCGCAGAUAUCAGGAGGAACACCGGUGGCGAAGGCGGGUCUCUGGGCAACAACUGACGCUGAGGAGCGAAAGCGUGGGGAGCAAACAGG
rnacentral:rRNA from 1 species